rnacentral:lncRNA from 1 species
GCCGCCGCCCUCGCACCGCAUCCCUAUCCCCUCGUCCUGGCGCUCAACCCACGGCCCUACCGCCGUCGCCACCGUAUUCGCUCUCCACCUACGGUCCUGCUGCCAUUGCCUCUGUCCUCGCGCUCUGUCCAAGAUCCAACCGCUGUCCUCGCGCUCCGCCCGAGAUCCAGCAGCCACCAUUGCGCUCCGCCCGAGAUCGAGCCGCCGUCCUCACACUCUGCCUGAGAUCCAGCCGCCGACCUCGCUCUCAGGGAUCCACCCCUCCCCUGAUCCCCGUCCUCCAGCCCCCAACUUCGUCCGUCAUCUCUCUCGCGCUUCUUCCCUGUCGCCCCCACCCCGGGCCCCAGCCCUACCAUGAGCUCUCCAUCCGUGCUCCCUGUUCCUGUUGCCGCCGGUAGAGAUCCAUCCACGAGCCCUCCAUCCCGCUGCACCCCUCCCGAAGCCAGCCGUCUGUUGCUGCAGAUAUCCGCACAGACUCGUCUUUACCAAUAGGUAAGCAUCGACUCCUCCUGAGAUAUCCUUUUGUGUACUACUGCAUGAUGCGUGCUUGUGCAUUGCUGAACUUUAAACCAUAUGUCAUUGCUGAACUCUGAAAAUUAGGGUAACACUUUCAUAUCUUCUGCUAAGAUUUGUUUAUUGUACAGUUCUUAUUCCUAUUUCUCAGCAUCUCAAUUUUGAUACAUAGAUUGGUGCUACAAAACAUAGCAAGCCAUCUGACAUCCAUAUCUCAUAGCUGAUUUUCAUUUUUAUAUUCAUCAUACGAUUCUGAACUCUUUAUCUCCUUUAAAUUAGAAAUGAUUAUUCCAUUAACAUUUGAUAUGGGUGAAUGUUCAUAUGUUGUUAGCAUUGUGUGACUUCCUAAUUUCUAGGUGGUUCAAUUUUGUUAUUUAAAGCCGUGACCCAUUGUGUGACUUCCAAUUCUGCGGGUGAGUUGUCCUGGUCAAACGGAAGCUCUUGUAGGUGCAUAACCUCUGAGUUUUUUUUACAUGAAGCACUUUUGAUUGUCAAUACGUAUUUCCAUGUUAUAUAGUGCAAAUGACUGAGUUGGCUUCAACUUUGUUGUAGAACUGAAUGUUGUUUGUGCUGUAACAUCUUGUAGUUUCUGAUGCUUCAUGGUUUAAUUUUGGGUCGACGUGCUUGGUGCUGCAGGAGCGGUUGUACAUGAUGUUGAGCUUGCAG